UUUCCCAAAUUUGUCUCCAACGGUGGUGUACCUCAUUUCCUGUUGUUGCCUAAUCUCUCUCUCUCUCUCUCUCAAAAUCUCUCUCUGGCUCGACUCUCUCUCGCUUGAAUCUCACUGUCCAAAUCUCUCUCGCUCUAGUAAAUUUGAACCUCGCUUGAAUCUCAUUCUCAAGAUUUGAAGAUUUUGAUCUAUUUGUUGAUGAAGAUUUGAAGAUUUCGAUAGGCUGUUGAUGAAGAUUUCGAUCGAUUCAUAAUUGAGAUUCAUAAUUGGAAUGAAUGAAUUUCAAUGUGACGGAGGAGAAUGAUCGAAUUCUGAGAAGGAAUAUGAUAAUUAACCACAGACAAGACAUGAAGCCACAGUCAAUAUUUGAAAAACAGGAUAUGUUCGCAUAUUGUAUACAUACUUACAUAUGCAUGUAUGAUUUUUAUGUGAAACAUAGUAAUUAUUACUCUUGUUUUUUAGCAAGACCUUCAUUGUUGCUCAA